GCCUACGGGGCGCAGCAGUGGGGAAUAUUGCGCAAUGGGGGCAACCCUGACGCAGCAACGCCGCGUGAUUGAAGAAGGCCUUCGGGUUGUAAAGAUCUUUAAUCGGGGACGAAUUUUGACGGUACCCGAAGAAUAAGCUCCGGCUAACUACGUGCCAGCAGCCGCGGUAAUACGUAGGUGGCAAGCGUUGUUCGGAAUAACUGGGCGUAAAGGAUGCGUAGGCGGUUAAACGAGUUAUAUGUUAAAUAUAUAGGCUUAACCUGUAGAAAGCAUAUAAAACUGUUUAACUAGAGUGCAGGAGAGGU
rnacentral:rRNA from 1 species